rnacentral:rRNA from 1 species
GAUGAACGCUGGCGGCGUGCCUAAUACAUGCAAGUCGAGCGAACAGACGAGGAGCUUGCUCCUCUGACGUUAGCGGCGGACGGGUGAGUAACACGUGGAUAACCUACCUAUAAGACUGGGAUAACUUCGGGAAACCGGAGCUAAUACCGGAUAACAUGUUGAACCGCAUGGUUCAACAGUGAAAGACGGUUUUGCUGUCACUUAUAGAUGGAUCCGCGUCGCAUUAGCUAGUUGGUAAGGUAACGGCUUACCAAGGCAACGAUGCGUAGCCGACCUGAGAGGGUGAUCGGCCACACUGGAACUGAGACACGGUCCAGACUCCUACGGGAGGCAGCAGUAGGGAAUCUUCCGCAAUGGGCGAAAGCCUGACGGAGCAACGCCGCGUGAGUGAAGAAGGUCUUCGGAUCGUAAAACUCUGUUAUUAGGGAAGAACAAAUGUGUAAGUAACUAUGCACGUCUUGACGGUACCUAAUCAGAAAGCCACGGCUAACUACGU